rnacentral:rRNA from 1 species
GAUGAACGCUGGCGGCGUGCCUAAUACAUGCAAGUCGAGCGAACAGACGAGGAGCUUGCUCCUCUGACGUUAGCGGCGGACGGGUGAGUAACACGUGGAUAACCUACCUAUAAGACUGGGAUAACUUCGGGAAACCGGAGCUAAUACCGGAUAAUAUAUUGAACCGCAUGGUUCAAUAGUGAAAGACGGUUUUGCUGUCACUUAUAGAUGUAUCCGCGCCGCAUUAGCUAGUUGGUAAGGUAACGGCUUACCAAGGCGACGAUGCGUAGCCGACCUGAGAGGGUGAUCGGCCACACUGGAACUGAGACACGGUCCAGACUCCUACGGGAGGCAGCAGUAGGGAAUCUUCCGCAAUGGGCGAAAGCCUGACGGAGCAACGCCGCGUGAGUGAUGAAGGUCUUCGGAUCGUAAAGCUCUGUUAUUAGGGAAGAACAAAUGUGUAAGUAACUAUGCACGUCUUGACGGUACCUACUCAGAAAGCCCCGGCUAACUACGUG